rnacentral:rRNA from 1 species
GGUUAAGCGACUAAGCGUACACGGUGGAUGCCCUGGCAGUCAGAGGCGAUGAAGGGCGUGCUAAUCUGCGAUAAGCGCCGGUAAGGUGAUAUGAACCGUUAUAACCGGCGAUACCCGAAUGGGGAAACCCAGUGUGACUCGUCACACUAUCAUUAACUGAAUCCAUAGGUUAAUGAGGCGAACCGGGGGAACUGAAACAUCUAAGUACCCCGAGGAAAAGAAAUCAACCGAGAUUCCCCCAGUAGCGGCGAGCGAACGGGGAGGAGCCCAGAGCCUGAAUCAGCAUGUGUGUUAGUGGAAGCGUCUGGAAAGGCGCGCGAUACAGGGUGACAGCCCCGUACACAAAAGCGCAUGUGCUGUGAGCUCGAUGAGUAGGGCGGGACACGUGGUAUCCUGUCUGAAUAUGGGGGGACCAUCCUCCAAGGCUAAAUACUCCUGACUGACCGAUAGUGAACCAGUACCGUGAGGGAAAGGCGAAAAGAACCCCGGCGAGGGGAGUGAAAAAGAACCUGAAACCGUGUACGUACAAGCAGUGGGAGCCCCACCACCAAAGCAUUCUCUGGUGUUGAAGGCCCUGCAAAGCAGCAUCGCGGUGGCGGAGCGUCGUUUGCGACGCCCAACACACAAAACAAGCGGUGAAUGCUUUGGGGUGGGGUGACUGCGUACCUUUUGUAUAAUGGGUCAGCGACUUAUAUUCUGUAGCAAGGUUAACCGAAUAGGGGAGCCGGAGGGAAACCGAGUCUUAAUUGGGCGUUAAGUUGCAGGGUAUAGACCCGAAACCCGGUGAUCUAGCCAUGGGCAGGUUGAAGGUUGGGUAACACUAACUGGAGGACCGAACCGACUAAUGUUGAAAAAUUAGCGGAUGACCUGUGGCUGGGGGUGAAAGGCCAAUCAAACCGGGAGAUAGCUGGUUCUCCCCGAAAGCUAUUUAGGUAGCGCCUCGUGAAUUCAUCUCCGGGGGUAGAGCACUGUUUCGGCUAGGGGGCCAUCCCGGCUUACCAACCCGAUGCAAACUGCGAAUACCGGAGAAUGUUAUCACGGGAGACACACGGCGGGUGCUAACGUCCGUCGUGAAGAGGGAAACAACCCAGACCGCCAGCUAAGGUCCCAAAGUCAUGGUUAAGUGGGAAACGAUGUGGGAAGGCCCAGACAGCCAGGAUGUUGGCUUAGAAGCAGCCAUCAUUUAAAGAAAGCGUAAUAGCUCACUGGUCGAGUCGGCCUGCGCGGAAGAUGUAACGGGGCUAAACCAUGCACCGAAGCUGCGGCAGCGAACGUAUCACCCAAGACAACUUUACGGAGUUGACGAUUGACGGAGCGAAGCGACGUCAAAGCGUUCAUUAAAGUCGAGUUGGCUUAGGGAUACGUUCGUUGGGUAGGGGAGCGUUCUGUAAGCCUGUGAAGGUGUGUCGUGAGGCAUGCUGGAGGUAUCAGAAGUGCGAAUGCUGACAUAAGUAACGAUAAAGCGGGUGAAAAGCCCGCUCGCCGGAAGACCAAGGGUUCCUGUCCAACGUUAAUCGGGGCAGGGUGAGUCGACCCCUAAGGCGAGGCCGAAAGGCGUAGUCGAUGGGAAACGGGUUAAUAUUCCCGUACUUGGUGUUACUGCGAAGGGGGGACGGAGAAGGCUAUGUUGGCCGGGCGACGGUUGUCCCGGUUUAAGCGUGUAGGUGUGUGUUCCAGGUAAAUCCGGUUCACUUUAACACUGAGGCGUGAUGACGAGGCACUACGGUGCUGAAGCAACAAAUGCCCUGCUUCCAGGAAAAGCCUCUAAGCAUCAGGUAACAUCAAAUCGUACCCCAAACCGACACAGGUGGUCAGGUAGAGAAUACCAAGGCGCUUGAGAGAACUCGGGUGAAGGAACUAGGCAAAAUGGUGCCGUAACUUCGGGAGAAAGGCACGCUGACACGUAGGUGAAGUGAUUUACUCACGGAGCUGAAGUCAGUCGAAGAUACCAGCUGGCUGCAACUGUUUAUUAAAAACACAGCACUGUGCAAACACGAAAGUGGACGUAUACGGUGUGACGCCUGCCCGGUGCCGGAAGGUUAAUUGAUGGGGUCAGCGCAAGCGAAGCUCCUGAUCGAAGCCCCGGUAAACGGCGGCCGUAACUAUAACGGUCCUAAGGUAGCGAAAUUCCUUGUCGGGUAAGUUCCGACCUGCACGAAUGGCGUAAUGAUGGCCAGGCUGUCUCCACCCGAGACUCAGUGAAAUUGAACUCGCUGUGAAGAUGCAGUGUACCCGCGGCAAGACGGAAAGACCCCGUGAACCUUUACUAUAGCUUGACACUGAACAUUGAGCCUUGAUGUGUAGGAUAGGUGGGAGGCUUUGAAGUGUGGACGCCAGUCUGCAUGGAGCCGACCUUGAAAUACCACCCUUUAAUGUUUGAUGUUCUAACGUGGACCCGUAAUCCGGGUUGCGGACAGUGUCUGGUGGGUAGUUUGACUGGGGCGGUCUCCUCCUAAAGAGUAACGGAGGAGCACGAAGGUUGGCUAAUCCUGGUCGGACAUCAGGAGGUUAGUGCAAUGGCAUAAGCCAGCUUGACUGCGAGCGUGACGGCGCGAGCAGGUGCGAAAGCAGGUCAUAGUGAUCCGGUGGUUCUGAAUGGAAGGGCCAUCGCUCAACGGAUAAAAGGUACUCCGGGGAUAACAGGCUGAUACCGCCCAAGAGUUCAUAUCGACGGCGGUGUUUGGCACCUCGAUGUCGGCUCAUCACAUCCUGGGGCUGAAGUAGGUCCCAAGGGUAUGGCUGUUCGCCAUUUAAAGUGGUACGCGAGCUGGGUUUAGAACGUCGUGAGACAGUUCGGUCCCUAUCUGCCGUGGGCGCUGGAGAACUGAGGGGGCUGCUCCUAGUACGAGAGGACCGGAGUGGACGCAUCACUGGUGUUCGGGUUGUCAUGCCAAUGGCACUGCCCGGUAGCUAAAUGCGGAAGAGAUAAGUGCUGAAAGCAUCUAAGCACGAAACUUGCCCCGAGAUGAGUUCUCCCUGAGACUUUAGGUCUCCUGAAGGAACGUUGAAGACGACGACGUUGAUAGGCCGGGUGUGUAAGCGCAGCGAUGCGUUGAGCUAACCGGUACUAAUGAACCGUGAGGCUUAACCUU